rnacentral:rRNA from 1 species
GAUGAACGCUGGCGGCGUGCCUAACACAUGCAAGUCGAGCGAUUCUCUUAGGAGAAGAGCGGCGGACGGGUGAGUAACGCGUGGGUAACCUGCCCUGUACACACGGAUAACAUACCGAAAGGUAUGCUAAUACGGGAUAAUGUGCUUUUGUCGCAUGGCAAAAGUAUCAAAGCUCCGGCGGUACAGGAUGGACCCGCGUCUGAUUAGUUAGUUGGUGAGGUAAUGGCUCACCAAGGCGACGAUCAGUAGCCGACCUGAGAGGGUGAUCGGCCACAUUGGAACUGAGACACGGUCCAAACUCCUACGGGAGGCAGCAGUGGGGAAUAUUGCACAAUGGGCGAAAGCCUGAUGCAGCAACGCCGCGUGAGCGAUGAAGGCCUUCGGGUCGUAAAGCUCUGUCCUCAAGGAAGAUAAUGACGGUACUUGAGGAGGAAGCCCCGGCUAACUACGUGCCAGCCGCCGCCGUAAUAC